GGGUUAGGGUUAGGGUUGGAGUUAGGGUUAGUGUUGGAGCUAGGGUUAGGGUUGGGCUUGGAGCUAGGAUUUUUCUGAGUGCAAUGAACCAACUCCCGAGUCUCUAGGACGUUCCUAAAAAAAUUUGAUUUUUUCCCAUAGGAAUGCAUGGGUUAGGGUUAGGGUUAGGGUUGGAGCUAGGGUUAGGGUUAGGGUUAGGGUUGGAGUUAGGGUUAGUGUUGGAGCUAGGGUUAGGGUUGGGCUUGGAGCUAGGAUUUUUCUGAGUGCAAUGAACCAACUCCCGAGUCUCUAGGACGUUCCUAAAAAAAAUUGAUUUUUUCCCAUAGGAAUGCAUGGGUUAGGGUUAGGGUUUGGGUUGGAGCUAGGGUUAGGGUUAGGUGUGGGGUUGGAGGUAGGGUUAGGGUUAGGGUUAGGGUUGGAGUUAGGGUGAGUGUUGGAGCUAGGGUUAGGGUUGGGCUUGGAGCUAGGAUUUUUCUGAGUGCAAUGAACCAACUCCCGAGUCUCUAGGACGUUCCUAAAAAAAUUUGAUUUUUUCCCAUAGGAAUGCAUGGGUUAGGGUUAGGGUUAGGGUUGGAGCUAGGGUUAGGGUUAGGGUUAGGGUUGGAGUUAGGGUUAGUGUUGGAGCUAGGGUUAGGGUUGGGCUUGGAGCUAGGAUUUUUCUGAGUGCAAUGAACCAACUCCUGAGUCUCUAGGACGUUCCUAAAAAAAUUUGAUUUUUUCCCAUAGGAAUGCAUGGGUUAGGGUUAGGGUUAGGGUUGGAGCUAGGGUUAGGGUUAGGGUUAGGGUUGGAGUUAGGGUUAGUGUUGGAGCUAGGGUUAGGGUUGGGCUUGGAGCUAGGAUUUUUCUGAGUGCAAUGAACCAACUCCCGAGUCUCUAGGACGUUCCUAAAAAAAUUUGAUUUUUUCCCAUAGGAAUGCAUGGGUUAGGGUUAGGGUUAGGGUUGGAGCUAGGGUUAGGGUUAGGGUUAGGGUUGGAGUUAGGGUUAGUGUUGGAGCUAGGGUUAUGGUUGGGCUUGGAGCUAGGAUUUUUCUGAGUGCAAUGAACCAACUCCCGAGUCUCUAGGACGUUCCUACAAAAAUUUAAAUUUUUUCCCAUAGGAAUGCAUGGGUUAGGGUUAGGGUUAGGGUUGGAGCUAGGGUUAGGGUUAGGGUUAGGGUUGGAGUUAGGGUUAGUGUUGGAGCUAGGGUUAGGGUUGGGCUUGGAGCUAGGAUUUUUCUGAGUGCAAUGAACCAACUCCCGAGUCUCUAGGACGUUCCUAAAAAAAUUUGAUUUUUUCCCAUAGGAAUGCAUGGGUUAGGGUUAGGGUUAGGGUUGGAGCUGGGGUUAGGGUUAGGGUUGGAGUUAGGGUUAGUGUUGGAGCUAGGGUUAGGGUUGGGCUUGGAGCUAGGAUUUUUCUGAGUGCAAUGAACCAACUCCCGAGUCUCUAGGAUGUUCCUACAAAAAUUUGAUUUUUUUUCCCAUAGGAAUGCAUGGGUUAGGGUUAGGGUUAGGGUUGGAGCUAGGGUUAGGGUUAGGGUUAGGGUUGGAGUUAGGGUUAGUGUUGGAGCUAGGGUUAGGGUUGGGCUUGGAGCUAGGAUUUUUCUGAGUGCAAUGAACCAACUCCCGAGUCUCUAGGACGUUCCUAAAAAAAUUUGAUUUUUUCCCAUAGGAAUGCAUGGGUUAGGGUUAGGGUUAGGGUUGGAGCUAGGGUUAGGGUUAGGGUUAGGGUUGGAGUUAGGGUUAGUGUUGGAGCUAGGGUUAGGGUUGGGCUUGGAGCUAGGAUUUUUCUGAGUGCAAUGAACCAACUCCCGAGUCUCUAGGACGUUCCUAAAAAAAUUUGAUUUUUUUUCCCAUAGGAAUGCAUGGGUUAGGGUUAGGGUUAGGGUUGGAGCUAGGGUUAGGGUUAGGGUUGGAGUUAGGGUUAGUGUUGGAGCUAGGGUUAGGGUUGGGCUUGGAGCUAGGAUUUUUCUGAGUGCAAUGAACCAACUCCCGAGUCUCUAGGACGUUCCUAAAAAAAUUUGAUUUUUUUCCCAUAGGAAUGCAUGGGUUAGGGUUAGGGUUAGGGUUGGAGCUAGGGUUAGGGUUAGGGUUAGGGUUGGAGUUAGGGUUAGUGUUGGAGCUAGGGUUAGGGUUGGGCUUGGAGCUAGGAUUUUUCUGAGUGCAAUGAACCAACUCCCGAGUCUCUAGGACGUUCCUAAAAAAAUUUGAUUUUUUUCCCAUAGGAAUGCAUGGGUUAGGGUUAGGGUUAGGGUUGGAGCUAGGGUUAGGGUUAGGGUUAGGGUUGGAGUUAGGGUUAGUGUUGGAGCUAGGGUUAGGGUUGGGCUUGGAGCUAGGAUUUUUCUGAGUGCAAUGAACCAACUCCCGAGUCUCUAGGACGUUCCUAAAAAAAUUUGAUUUUUUUCCCAUAGGAAUGCAUGGGUUAGGGUUAGGGUUAGGGUUGGAGCUAGGGUUAGGGUUAGGGUUAGGGUUGGAGUUAGGGUUAGUGUUGGAGCUAGGGUUAGGGUUGGGCUUGGAGCUAGGAUUUUUCUGAGUGCAAUGAACCAACUCCCGAGUCUCUAGGACGUUCCUAAAAAAAUUGAUUUUUUUCCCAUAGGAAUGCAUGGGUUAGGGUUAGGGUUAGGGUUGGAGCUAGGGUUAGGGUUAGGGUUAGGGUUGGAGUUAGGGUUAGUGUUGGAGCUAGGGUUAGGGUUGGGCUUGGAGCUAGGAUUUUUCUGAGUGCAAUGAACCAACUCCCGAGUCUCUAGGACGUUCCUAUAAAAAUUGAUUUUUUCCCAUAGGAAUGCAUGGGUUAGGGUUAGGGUUAGGGUUAGGGUUGGAGCUAGGGUUAGGGUUAGGGUUAGGGUUGGAGUUAGGGUUAGUGUUGGAGCUAGGGUUAGGGUUGGGCUUGGAGCUAGGAUUUUUCUGAGUGCAAUGAACCAACUCCCGAGUCUCUAGGACGUUCCUAAAAAAUUUGAUUUUUUCCCAUAGGAAUGCAUGGGUUAGGGUUAGGGUUAGGGUUGGAGCUAGGGUUAGGGUUAGGGUUAGGGUUGGAGUUAGGGUUAGUGUUGGAGCUAGGGUUAGGGUUGGGCUUGGAGCUAGGAUUUUUCUGAGUGCAAUGAACCAACUCCCGAGUCUCUAGGACGUUCCUAAAAAAAUUUGAUUUUUUCCCAUAGGAAUGCAUGGGUUAGGGUUAGGGUUAGGGUUGGAGCUAGGGUUAGGGUUAGGGUUAGGGUUGGAGUUAGGGUUAGUGUUGGAGCUAGGGUUAGGGUUGGGCUUGGAGCUAGGAUUUUUCUGAGUGCAAUGAACCAACUCCCGAGUCUCUAGGACGUUCCUAAAAAAAAUGAUUUUUUCCCAUAGGAAUGCAUGGGUUAGGGUUAGGGUUAGGGUUGGAGCUAGGGUUAGGGUUAGGGUUAGGGUUGGAGUUAGGGUUAGUGUUGGAGCUAGGGUUAGGGUUGGGCUUGGAGCUAGGAUUUUUCUGAGUGCAAUGAACCAACUCCCGAGUCUCUAGGACGUUCCUAAAAAAAUUUGAUUUUUUUCCCAUAGGAAUGCAUGGGUUAGGGUUAGGGUUAGGGUUAGGGUUGGAGCUAGGGUUAGGGUUAGGGUUAGGGUUGGAGUUAGGGUUAGUGUUGGAGCUAGGGUUAGGGUUGGGCUUGGAGCUAGGAUUUUUCUGAGUGCAAUGAACCAACUCCCGAGUCUCUAGGACGUUCCUAAAAAAAUUGAUUUUUUCCCAUAGGAAUGCAUGGGUUAGGGUUAGGGUUAGGGUUAGGGUUGGAGCUAGGGUUAGGGUUAGGGUUAGGGUUGGAGUUAGGGUUAGUGUUGGAGCUAGGGUUAGGGUUGGGCUUGGAGCUAGGAUUUUUCUGAGUGCAAUGAACCAACUCCCGAGUCUCUAGGACGUUCCUAAAAAAAUUUGAUUUUUUCCCAUAGGAAUGCAUGGGUUAGGGUUAGGGUUAGGGUUGGAGCUAGGGUUAGGGUUAGGGUUAGGGUUGGAGUUAGGGUUAGUGUUGGAGCUAGGGUUAGGGUUGGGCUUGGAGCUAGGAUUUUUCUGAGUGCAAUGAACCAACUCCCGAGUCUCUAGGACGUUCCUAAAAAAAUUUGAUUUUUUUCCCAUAGGAAUGCAUGGGUUAGGGUUAGGGUUAGGGUUAGGGUUGGAGCUAGGGUUAGGGUUAGGGUUAGGGUUGGAGUUAGGGUUAGUGUUGGAGCUAGGGUUAGGGUUGGGCUUGGAGCUAGGAUUUUUCUGAGUGCAAUGAACCAACUCCCGAGUCUCUAGGACGUUCCUAAAAAAAUUUGAUUUUUUUCCCAUAGGAAUGCAUGGGUUAGGGUUAGGGUUAGGGUUGGAGCUAGGGUUAGGGUUAGGGUUAGGGUUGGAGUUAGGGUUAGUGUUGGAGCUAGGGUUAGGGUUGGGCUUGGAGCUAGGAUUUUUCUGAGUGCAAUGAACCAACUCCCGAGUCUCUAGGACGUUCCUAAAAAAAUUUGAUUUUUUUCCCAUAGGAAUGCAUGGGUUAGGGGUUAGGGUUAGGGUUGGAGCUAGGGUUAGGGUUAGGGUUAGGGUUGGAGUUAGGGUUAGUGUUGGAGCUAGGGUUAGGGUUGGGCUUGGAGCUAGGAUUUUUCUGAGUGCAAUGAACCAACUCCCGAGUCUCUAGGACGUUCCUAAAAAAAUUUGAUUUUUUCCCAUAGGAAUGCAUGGGUUAGGGUUAGGGUUAGGGUUGGAGCUAGGGUUAGGGUUAGGGUUAGGGUUGGAGUUAGGGUUAGUGUUGGAGCUAGGGUUAGGGUUGGGCUUGGAGCUAGGAUUUUUCUGAGUGCAAUGAACCAACUCCCGAGUCUCUAGGACGUUCCUAAAAAAAAUUGAUUUUUUUCCCAUAGGAAUGCAUGGGUUAGGGUUAGGGUUAGGGUUGGAGCUAGGGUUAGGGUUAGGGUUAGGGUUGGAGUUAGGGUUAGUGUUGGAGCUAGGGUUAGGGUUGGGCUUGGAGCUAGGAUUUUUCUGAGUGCAAUGAACCAACUCCCGAGUCUCUAGGACGUUCCUAAAAAAUUUGAUUUUUUCCCAUAGGAAUGCAUGGGUUAGGUUAGGGUUAGGGUUGGAGCUAGGGUUAGGGUUAGGGUUAGGGUUGGAGUUAGGGUUAGUGUUGGAGCUAGGGUUAGGGUUGGGCUUGGAGCUAGGAUUUUUCUGAGUGCAAUGAACCAACUCCCGAGUCUCUAGGACGUUCCUAAAAAAAUUUGAUUUUUUUCCCCAUAGGAAUGCAUGGGUUAGGGUUAGGGUUAGGGUUGGAGCUAGGGUUAGGGUUAGGGUUAGGGUUGGAGUUAGGGUUAGUGUUGGAGCUAGGGUUAGGGUUGGGCUUGGAGCUAGGAUUUUUCUGAGUGCAAUGAACCAACUCCCGAGUCUCUAGGACGUUCCUAAAAAAAAUGAUUUUUUCCCAUAGGAAUGCAUGGGUUAGGGUUAGGGUUAGGGUUGGAGCUAGGGUUAGGGUUAGGGUUAGGGUUGGAGUUAGGGUUAGUGUUGGAGCUAGGGUUAGGGUUGGGCUUGGAGCUAGGAUUUUUCUGAGUGCAAUGAACCAACUCCCGAGUCUCUAGGACGUUCCUAAAAAAAUU